rnacentral:rRNA from 1 species
UGCCCUUAGGUCUGGGACAACAUCGAGAAAUUGAUGCUAAACCCGGAUAGAAGAUUAAUACUGGAAUGUUUUUUCUUCGAAAGGUAACGCCUAAGGAUGAGUCGGCGGCUGAUUAGGUUGUUGGUGAGGUAAUGGCUCACCAAGCCUAUGAUCAGUAGGGGGGAUGAGAGUCCUAGCCCCGAGAAGGGCACUGAGAUACUGGCCCUAGCCCUAAGGGGUGCAGCAGGCGCGAAAACUUUACAAUGCACGAAAGUGUGAUAAGGGGAUCCCAAGUGCUUUGUCUUCGGAUAAAGCUUUUGCUAAGUCUAAACAGCUUGGCGAAUAAGUGGUGGGUAAGACGGGUGCCAGCCGCCGCGGUAACACCCGCGCCACAAGUGGCAAUCACUUUUAUUGGGUCUAAAGCGUCCGCAGCCGGUUUGAUAAGUCUCUUGUGAAAUUGUUAGGCUUAACUUAACAGCAUGCAAGGGAAACUAUCAGACUUGAGACUGGGAGGAGGUAGAGGUAUUCCGAGGGUAGCGGUAAAAUGUUAUAAUCCUCGGAGGACCACCAGUGGCGGAGGCGUCUACCUAGAACAGGUCUGACGGUGAGGGACGAAGGCCAGGGGAGCAAAACGGAUUAGAUACCCGAGUAGUCCUGGCAGUAAACGCUGUGAGCUAUGUGUUGCACAAUCUUAGUGAUCGUGCAGUGCCUAAGCGAAGGUGUUAAGCUCACCACCUGGGAAGUACAGUCGCAAGACCGAAACUUAAAGGAAUUGGCGGGGGCUCACUACAAGGGGUGAAGAGUGCGGUUCAAUUGGAGUCCACGCCGGAAAUCUCACCAGGGGCGACGGUAUGAUGAAGGUCAAAUUAAAGGUUUUACCUGAAGCACCGAGAGGUGGUGCAUGGCCGACGCCAGCUCGUGCCGUGAGGUGUCACGUUAAGUCGUGCAACGAGCAAGACCCAUAUCCGCUUUUACCAGCAGAUACUACGGUAUGACUGGGUACAAUGCGGAGACUGCCUUCGUAAGGAGGAGGAAGGCGUGGGCAACGUUAGGUCCGUAUGCCCCGAAUCUCCUGGGCUACACGCGCUCUGCAAUGGUGGAGACAAUAGGAUGCAACUCCGAAAGGAGAAGCAAACCCUCUAAACUCCAUCUUAGUCUGGAUUGAGGGUUGCAAUUCACCCUCAUGAAACCGGAAUCCCUAGUAAUCGGACUUCAUUACGGUCCGGUGAAUAACGUCCCUGAGCCUUGCACACACUGCCCGUCAAACCAACCGAGCAUGGCUUAGAUGAGAUAUGGUUUUUUUGAUCAUGUCGAAUCUGAGUUAAGUAAGGUGGGUUAAGUCGUCACAAGGUA